rnacentral:rRNA from 1 species
UACGAAGGGGGCUAGCGUUGCUCGGAAUCACUGGGCGUAAAGGGUGCGUAGGCGGGUUUUUAAGUCAGAGGUGAAAUCCUGGAGCUCAACUCCAGAACUGCCUUUGAUACUGGCGAUCUCGAGUCCGGGAGAGGUGAGUGGAACUGCGAGUGUAGAGGUGAAAUUCGUAGAUAUUCGCAAGAACACCAGUGGCGAAGGCGGCUCACUGGCCCGGUACUGACGCUGAGGUGCGAAAGCGUGGGGAGCAAACAGG